rnacentral:rRNA from 1 species
CUGGGCGAUUCAAGACUUUUACUUUGAGGAAAUUAGAGUGUUCACUGCAAGCGUUAGCAAUUGAAUACAUUAGCAUGGAAUAAUAAUAUAGGACCUUGGUACUAUUUUGUUGGUUUCUAGAACUAAGGUAAUGAUUAAUAGGGACAAUUGGGGGCAUUCGUAUUAACGCGUCAGAGGUGGAAUUCUUAGAUUGCGUUACGACGAACUACUGCGAAAGCAUUUGCCAAGGAUGUUUUCAUUGAUCAAGAACGAAAGUAUGGGGAUCGAAGAC